UAUUGUCUUCAGGGCAGGGUGAAAAUCCCGACCGGCGGUUAGAGUCCGCGACCCACGUAAGUGGUGGAAUCGUUAGAUACCGAUAGUUAAAGUCUAGAUGGAAGAAGACAGAC
rfam:Lactobacillus kefiranofaciens subsp. kefirgranum DSM 10550 = JCM 8572 strain DSM 10550 NODE_383, whole genome shotgun sequence.